GGUGACAUGGUCUAAUGGUUAUGACGUUUCGUUCACAACGUGCAAAAUCCGAAAAGGUUCUGAGUUCGAUCCUCAGUGUCGCCA